AUACGUAGGUGGCAAGCGUUGUCCGGAUUUACUGGGCGUAAAGGGUGCGUAGGCGGAUGCUUAAGUGAGAUGUGAAAUACCUAGGCUUAACUUAGGGGCUGCAUUUCAAACUGGAUAUCUAGAGUGCAGGAGAGGAGAAUGGAAUUCCUAGUGUAGCGGUGAAAUGCGUAGAGAUUAGGAAGAACACCAGUGGCGAAGGCGUUUCUCUGGACUGUAACUGACGCUGGGGCACGAAAGCGUGGGUAGCAAACAGGAUUAGAUACCCUGGUAGUCCACGCCGUAAACGAUGAGUACUAGGUGUAGGAGGUAUCGAUCCCUUCUGUGCCGCAGUUAACACAAUAAGUACUCCGCCUGGGAAGUACGAUCGCAAGAUUAAA
rnacentral:rRNA from 1 species